AUUUGAUCUGAAAUCAGGCGGGAUUACCC
rnacentral:rRNA from 2 species